rnacentral:pre_miRNA from 1 species
UGGAAAGAUUGUAUUCGACUGUAUUCACGGCGUGAAACAGGGGAUUACACUAUUUUUAAACGGAAAGUGAAUCAAUUAACAUAAUAGACUCCU